UACGUAGGGUGCAAGCGUUGUUCGGAAUUACUGGGCGUAAAGCGCACGUAGGCGGCUUUGUAAGUUAGAGGUGAAAAGCCCGGAGCUCAACUCCGGAAUUGCCUUUAAGACUGCAUCGCUUGAAUCAUGGAGAGGUGAGUGGAAUUCCGAGUGUAGAGGUGAAAUUCGUUAGAUAUUCGGAAGAAACACCAGUGGCGAAGGCGACUCACUGGACAUGUAUUGACGCUGAGGUGCGAAAAGCGUGGGGGAGCAAACAGG
rnacentral:rRNA from 1 species